rnacentral:rRNA from 1 species
CUAUGCGCCUUGCCAGCCCGCUCAGUCAGAGUUUGAUCCUGGCUCAGGACGAACGCUGGCGGCGUGCUUAACACAUGCAAGUCGAACGAAGAGCGACGGAAGCUUGCUUCUAUCAAUCUUAGUGGCGAACGGGUGAGUAACGCGUAAUCAACCUGCCCUUCAGAGGGGGACAACAGUUGGAAACGACUGCUAAUACCGCAUACGAUCUAAUCUCGGCAUCGAGGAUGGAUGAAAGGUGGCCUCUACAUGUAAGCUAUCACUGAAGGAGGGGAUUGCGUCUGAUUAGCUAGUUGGAGGGGUAACGGCCCACCAAGGCGAUGAUCAGUAGCCGGUCUGAGAGGAUGAACGGCCACAUUGGGACUGAGACACGGCCCAG